GAUGAACGCUAGCGAUAGGCUUAACACAUGCAAGUCGAGGGGCAGCAUGGUCUUAGCUUGCUAAGACUGAUGGCGACCGGCGCACGGGUGCGUAACGCGUAUGCAACUUGCCUCACAGAGGGGGAUAACCCGUCGAAAGACGGACUAAUACCGCGUACACUCCAUCUUGGGCAUCCAAGGUAGAGGAAAUGAAAUUCGCUGUGAGAUAGGCAUGCGUCCCAUUAGCUAGUUGGUGAGGUAACGGCUCACCAAGGCGACGAUGGGUAGGGGAACUGAGAGGUUGGACCCCCACACUGGUACUGAGACACGGACCAGACUACUACGGGAGGCAGCAGUGAGGAAUAUUGGUCAAUGGGCGAGAGCCUGAACCAGCCAAGUCGCGUGAAGGAUGACUGUCUUAUGGAUUGUAAACUUCUUUUAUACGGGAAUAACAAGAGUCACGUGUGACUCCCUGCAUGUACCGUAUGAAUAAGCAUCGGCUAACUCCGUG
rnacentral:rRNA from 1 species